rnacentral:lncRNA from 1 species
GCAACACAACUCAAAUCACAAUUCAAAUAAAAUAACAGUCCAGAAAAAAUAAUAAUAUUGUUUCCAAUACAAUCACAUAAUAUUCUACACAUUUAAUUCAAUUAUUCACAGCUUAAAUUUACAUAAUGAAAUACUAACUCCUUCGAAAAUUAAUCUACAAUAAUUUUAAAAUCAGGCUACUAAUUAAUUAAUUAUAACUAACAAAUAAAUACACCAAAAAAUUUUCUAAUAACUUCAAAAUAAUCUAAGUCUAAAUAAAAUUAUAUCGAUUCGAAAUCUAAAUUUUUGGGCAUCUUGAAAACAUCAGGGUCAAUCCGGAAGCGCCUAGCUUGAGUUGCAAGGAGUCCAAAUAUGCAAACAUCUUCAUUUGAAACUCGUUGAAAGCCACUAGAUCGAUAUUGGAAAGUUUUAGCUUCGGCGAGACUCACCCACUACUGCCGAGAGAGGAAAAUCGACAGGCGAGGGCUACCUUGAGGUUAUCAGGGUGUAGGAGUCUGUUUUCAGCGUCAGAUCGGUGAAACGAUGCUAGCAAGAGGUUGCUUCGGUAGCGGCAGCAGGGGAGGAAACUUCCUCCUCGCGAGCAACUCCUCCUCAAUGGUUGGAGACUGCGUGGAUGACGGCAACGAGAUGGCGGCGAAGAGGGAGCCCACGGUAGGUGAGGAACAGAAGGCGGCAAGGAGAAAAGCAACUAGGAAAAAAAGUGUAAGGGAAGAGGGAGGUGGCGUCAUUGGGAAGGAGAGAAACAGAGGAAGAAGACAUCGCUAGCGAGGAGGAAGGGAGAAGAAGCGGCAGUGACAAGAAAGGGGUGGCAGGCGGCAAUGAAAAUGGAAGGGAGUGAAGGAGAAGGAGGAAAAGGGUGACUGGGAGAGAGGAGACGGAGGGGAGGAAAAAAAUUUGAUAUGUUUUU